rnacentral:rRNA from 1 species
CCUACGGGAGACAGCAGUGAGGAAUAUUGGUCAAUGGGCGCAAGCCUGAACCAGCCAUGCCGCGUGCAGGAAGACGGCCCUAUGAGUUGUAAACUGCUUUUGUACAGGGGUAAACCUGAAUACGUGUAUUCUGCUGUAUGUACUUUAUGAAUAAGGAUCGGCUAACUCCGUGCCAGCAGCCGCGGUAAUACGGAGGAUCCGAGCGUUAUCCGGAUUUAUUGGGUUUAACGGGUGCGUAGGCGGUUUGUUAAGUUAGAUGUGAAAUGUUCGGGCUUAACUCGGAAAUUGCAUUUGAUACUGUGGAUCUUGAGUGCAGUUGAGGUAGGCGGAAUUCAUGGUGUAGCGGUGAAAUGCUUAGAGAUCAUGAAGAACACCGAUUGCGAAGGCAGCUUACUAAGCUGUAACUGACGUUGAUGCACGAAAGCGUGGGGAGCAAACAGGAUUAGAUACCCGGGUAGUC